GCCCCGAUAGCUCAAUUGGACAGAGCACCUCUCCCACUAAGGGGUGGAUGUGGGUUCGAGUCCUACCCGGGGCGCCC
rnacentral:tRNA from 1 species